rnacentral:tRNA from 3 species
UGCGGGGUGGAGCAGUCUGGUAGCUCGUCGGGCUCAUAACCCGAAGGUCGUCGGUUCAAAUCCGGCCCCCGCAACCA